GACGUGGACAGCAUAGAAGUGAGAAUGUCGGCUUGAGUAGCGAAAACAUGGGUGAGAAUCCCAUGCCCCGAAACCCUAAGGGUUCCUCCGGCAGGCUCGUCCGCGGAGGGUUAGUCUGGACCUAAGGCGAGGCCGAAAGGCGUAGUCGAUGGAUAACAGGUCAAUAUUCCUGUACCAGAUGUGUUUUGGGAAGGGGGACGGAGAAGGCUAGCCAGGCCAGAUGUUGGUUACUGGUUCAAGCGUUCAAGGCUUCGAGAGAUGGAGAAAACAUCUUGAGCUAAGGCGUGAGUACGAGCUGCUACGGCAGCGAAGUUGGUGAUGUCAUGCUUCCAAGAAAAGCCCUAUACCCGUUAAGACACAAAUGCCAGUACCCGAAACCGACACAGGUGGGGUGGUAGAGAAUACCGAGGGGCGCGAGAUAACUCUCUCUAAGGAACUCGGCAAAAUGGCCCCGUAACUUCGGGAGAAGGGGUGCCAGCGAGAGCUGGUCGCAGUGAAGAGGCGCAAGCGACUGUUUACCAAAAACACAGGUCUCCGCUAAGUCGCAAGACGAUGUAUGGGGGCUGACACCUGCCCAGUGCCGGAAGGUUAAGGAAGCUGGUUAGCUUUUAGUGAAGCUGGCGACUGAAGCCCCGGUGAACGGCGGCCGUAACUAUAACGGUCCUAAGGUAGCGAAAUUCCUUGUCGGGUAAGUUCCGACCCGCACGAAAGGUGUAACGAUUUGCGCGCUGUCUCGGAGAGAGGCUCGGCGAAAUAGAAUUGUCUGUGAAGAUGCGGACUACAUACACCCGGACAGAAAGACCCUAUGAAGCUUUACUGUAGUUUGAUAUUGUGCUCGGGCUCUGAAUGCGCAGAAUAGGUGGGAGACGUUGAAAUAGUGCUUGUGGGUACUAUUGAGUCAUCGGUGAGAUACCACUCUUUUAGAGCUAGGGUUCUAACGCUUGCCCGUUAUCCGGGAAGCGGACAGUAUCUGAUGGGCAGUUUGACUGGGGCGGUCGCCUCCUAAAAGGUAACGGAGGCGCACAAAGGUUCCCUCAGGCUGGUUGGAAAUCAGUCGUUGAGUGCAAAAGCAGAAGGGAGCUUGACUGUGAGACCUACAAGUCGAACAGGGACGAAAGUCGGUUUUAGUGAUCCGACGGUUCUGCGUGGAAGGGCCGUCGCUCAACGGAUAAAAGUUACUCUAGGGAUAACAGGCUGAUCUCCCCCAAGAGUUCACAUCGACGGGGAGGUUUGGCACCUCGAUGUCGGCUCAUCGCAACCUGGGGCUGAAGUCGGUCCCAAGGGUUGGGCUGUUCGCCCAUUAAAGCGGUACGCGAGCUGGGUUCAGAACGUCGUGAGACAGUUCGGUCCAUAUCCGGUGUAUGCGCAGGAAUAUUGAGAGGAUUUCUCCCUAGUACGAGAGGACCGGGAGGAACGCACCUCUGGUGUGCCAGUUAUCGUGCCAACGGUAAACGCUGGGUAGCCAUGUGCGGAGUGGAUAACCGCUGAAAGCAUCUAAGUGGGAAGCCCACCUCAAGAUGAGUAUUGCCAUGGCUUAAGCCAGUAAGGUCACGGGAAGAACACCCGUUGAUAGGCUCUACGUGGAAGCUUGGUAACAAGUGCAGCGGAGGAGUACUAAUAGACCGAGGGCUUGACCA
rnacentral:rRNA from 1 species